GAUAAAAGUGGCAUUACAUUAGGUAGUCAUAGGGUUGAGCAGAAAUUGGUUUUAGCUAAAAAAUAAACCGAAGUGAUUUAAUUCGGUUUUUUGGUAAAUUGGUUCAAUUUUGGUUAUUAUUGAAAAAAUAUUCAGUGGGUUCGGUUAGUUCAUUAGAAAAACCGAACUAACCAAACCAUGUCUUAUGCUGUGUCGUUUUUGGCUGCCUAUAUAUUAGAAUCCCUGAUUUUUUCACUCCCUCCCUCAUACCCCAAAUUUAUUUUCACGAUUCCCUCCCCUUCCUUUGCAGUUACAAAUUUUCACGCCUCCCUCAGACCUCAAUUUUGUUUCGCGCCUCCAGAUCUUAGUUCUAUUUCACACCUCUUUGUCCUCUCAUUCUCUUUUAUUUCCCUCUUGCAGAGUUGUAGUUGCUUGUUCCCUUCUAGUUUACGACCCCCUCUUUGUCCUCAUUCUCCUCUCCCCCUGUUUCUCACAAUUGCUUGCCUCCUAGACUUGUUCUCCUGCUUCCGAAUCUCAACCUUUUCCUCACUCCUCAAGCCUUCUGGUUCAAGGCAUCAGCCUCCCUUGCUCUUCCUAGCUCCUGCAUGUCCAAGUCCCUAACGAAGACAGUUCUUUCUCUCUCCAUAGAUAUAUCCAUAUGUAGGGUUUAUGAAGUGAGCUAUGCCUGGAUUUAUGUGAUUGUGUAAUGAUUUAGUGAAAUGCGAUUGUGGAUUUUAAAUGAAAUUUCUGUUAUUUUGUGUAAUUGUAUAUCAAAUUUGUGAAUUUGUCGAAGAAUCUGGAGAGUUGUUUAGAUGGAAUUGUAAUUUGAGUUAAUUGUUCUCUUCUUUUAAUCUCUUUUGAUUCUAUUUUUGGUGACUUGUGUUGAUGAUGAAUUAUAUUUGAUUUCUUGAGAUUGUACUUUGGCAAUUGAGUAUAUGGAGAAAUUUUGUUUCCGUAAUUGUGGGGACACGGACGGUAUAUAGAACUGUUCAACCGAACAGAAUCAAACUGAAUUUUUUUUAUUCGGUUUGAUUCAGUUUUACUGUAUAGUUUGGUUCGGUUCACAAAAUUAUCCUUUUUUGGUUAUUGUGGCUUGGUUUGGCCCGAAACUGAAAUGACCAUUGCAUAGCUCUGGUUAGUCACGAAGGGUCUGAUCUCUUUAGUUGCUGAUUGGCUCAUUUCAUUCAUGAUCACUGAUUGGAGCUAUGGCAAUUCUUCUAUAGCCAUGGUGGUCAUCUAUUAGUCAACUGUUCUGAGUUAAUAUCCUUCUUUGGUUGGUAGACUUGGUUAAGUUAUUCUGAGAAGAAGGAGACAUCAGCUUCCUUCUUUAUCAGACAAAAUAUUUGUUUUUCCUUUUCUUUAUAGAUAUCAGUGUGACAAGCCACUUAUCUUUGUCUACUUUGUUACCUUUUAAAGGAAUCUGAAAGAAGUGGACCU
rnacentral:misc_RNA from 1 species